GAAGGUGUGUCGUGAGGCAUGCUGGAGGUAUCAGAAGUGCGAAUGCUGACAUAAGUAACGAUAAAGCGGGUGAAAAGCCCGCUCGCCGGAAGACCAAGGGUUCCUGUCCAACGUUAAUCGGGGCAGGGUGAGUCGACCCCUAAGGCGAGGCCGAAAGGCGUAGUCGAUGGGAAACGGGUUAAUAUUCCCGUACUUGGUGUUACUGCGAAGGGGGGACGGAGAAGGCUAUGUUGGCCGGGCGACGGUUGUCCCGGUUUAAGCGUGUAGGUGUGUGUUCCAGGUAAAUCCGGUUCACUUUAACACUGAGGCGUGACGACGAGGCACUACGGUGCUGAAGCAACAAAUGCCCUGCUUCCAGGAAAAGCCUCUAAGCAUCAGGUAACAUCAAAUCGUACCCCAAACCGACACAGGUGGUCAGGUAGAGAAUACCAAGGCGCUUGAGAGAACUCGGGUGAAGGAACUAGGCAAAAUGGUGCCGUAACUUCGGGAGAAGGCACGCUGACACGUAGGUGAAGUGAUUUACUCAUGGAGCUGAAGUCAGUCGAAGAUACCAGCUGGCUGCAACUGUUUAUUAAAAACACAGCACUGUGCAAACACGAAAGUGGACGUAUACGGUGUGACGCCUGCCCGGUGCCGGAAGGUUAAUUGAUGGGGUCAGCGCAAGCGAAGCUCCUGAUCGAAGCCCCGGUAAACGGCGGCCGUAACUAUAACGGUCCUAAGGUAGCGAAAUUCCUUGUCGGGUAAGUUCCGACCUGCACGAAUGGCGUAAUGAUGGCCAGGCUGUCUCCACCCGAGACUCAGUGAAAUUGAACUCGCUGUGAAGAUGCAGUGUACCCGCGGCAAGACGGAAAGACCCCGUGAACCUUUACUAUAGCUUGACACUGAACAUUGAGCCUUGAUGUGUAGGAUAGGUGGGAGGCUUUGAAGUGUGGACGCCAGUCUGCAUGGAGCCGACCUUGAAAUACCACCCUUUAAUGUUUGAUGUUCUAACGUGGACCCGUUACCCGGGUUGCGGACAGUGUCUGGUGGGUAGUUUGACUGGGGCGGUCUCCUCCUAAAGAGUAACGGAGGAGCACGAAGGUUGGCUAAUCCUGGUCGGACAUCAGGAGGUUAGUGCAAUGGCAUAAGCCAGCUUGACUGCGAGCGUGACGGCGCGAGCAGGUGCGAAAGCAGGUCAUAGUGAUCCGGUGGUUCUGAAUGGAAGGGCCAUCGCUCAACGGAUAAAAGGUACUCCGGGGAUAACAGGCUGAUACCGCCCAAGAGUUCAUAUCGACGGCGGUGUUUGGCACCUCGAUGUCGGCUCAUCACAUCCUGGGGCUGAAGUAGGUCCCAAGGGUAUGGCUGUUCGCCAUUUAAAGUGGUACGCGAGCUGGGUUUAGAACGUCGUGAGACAGUUCGGUCCCUAUCUGCCGUGGGCGCUGGAGAACUGAGGGGGGCUGCUCCUAGUACGAGAGGACCGGAGUGGACGCAUCACUGGUGUUCGGGUUGUCAUGCCAAUGGCACUGCCCGGUAGCUAAAUGCGGAAGAGAUAAGUGCUGAAAGCAUCUAAGCACGAAACUUGCCCCGAGAUGAGUUCUCCCUGAGACUUAGAGUCUCCUGAAGGAACGUUGAAGACGACGACGUUGAUAGGCCGGGUGUGUAAGCGCAGCGAUGCGUUGAGCUAACCGGUACU
rnacentral:rRNA from 1 species